UACGUAGGGGGCAAGCGUUGUCCGGAAUCAUUGGGCGUAAAGCGCGUGUAGGCGGCCUUGUAAGUCCGUUCUGAAAGUCCGGGGCUCAACCCCGGGAGGCGGAUGGAUACUGCAAGGCUCGAGUACGGAAGAGGCGAGUGGAAUUCCUGGUGUAGCGGUGAAAUGCGCAGAUAUCAGGAGGAACACCAAUUGCGAAGGCAGCUCGCUGGGACGUUACUGACGCUGAGACGCGAAAGCGUGGGGAGCAAAUAGG
rnacentral:rRNA from 1 species